rnacentral:rRNA from 1 species
UACGUAGGGGGCAAGCGUUGUCCGGAUUUAUUGGGCGUAAAGAGCGUGUAGGCGGCUUUACAGGUCCGUUGUGAAAACUCGAGGCUCAACCUCGAGACGCCGGUGGAAACCGUAAAGCUAGAGUCCGGAAGAGGAGAGUGGAAUUCCUGGUGUAGCGGUGAAAUGCGCAGAUAUCAGGAGGAACACCAAUGGCGAAGGCAGCUCGCUGGGACGUUACUGACACUAAGGCGCGAAAGCGUGGGGAGCGAACAGG